UACGUAGGGAGCAAGCGUUGUUCGGAUUUACUGGGCGUAAAGGGCGCGUAGGCGGCGCGGUAAGUCACUUGUGAAAUCUCUGAGCUUAACUCAGAACGGCCAAGUGAUACUGCAGUGCUAGAGUGCAGAAGGGGCAAUCGGGAAUUCUUGGUGUAGCGGUGAAAUGCGUAGAUAUCAAGAGGAACACCUGAGGUGAAGACGGGUUGCUGGGCUGACACUGACGCUGAGGCGCGAAAGCCAGGGGAGCAAACGGG
rnacentral:rRNA from 1 species